GGUCUGCUGGCGGAAUUGGUAACGCAUUGGACCAACAAUCCAAAGGAUGUGGGUUCGAGUCCCACGUUGGCCA